GAGAGAGCAAGAGACACAGCGAGAGAGAGAGAGAGAGAGAGAACGAGAACACACUGCUGAAUGUGGAUUACAGGACAGAGAUAAUAAACAGAGGCGUCUGUGUAUACGUCCAAGCCAGCACACAGCAGAUGUGUACAGUUUUUGAUUCUCAGGAGCAUGCUGCGGUUUUGGCAUGUCAGGAAGUCGGGGUCAGAGUGCAGGGUCAGCCAUGAUACAGCGCCCCCUGGAGCAGAGACGGUUAAGGGACUUGCUCAAGGGCCCAACAGUGGCAGCUUGGCAGUGCUGGGGCUUGAACCCCCGACCUUCCGAUCAGUAACCCAGACCAUCAAUCGCCAAGUCAUCACUGCCCCAGCAAUUAAUAAUAAUAAUAAUAAUAAUAAUAGCUUCCACUAAUUUAAUUAUAAACUAUAAUAUCAUCUGUAUUACUUACAGCUUUCUGUUACAGCUUUCAGAGGCAGGACCAGAAAGAAAACAAACCUUUUUGUGUAACAUA